AAACAUGUCUUUUUGAAUUAUAUUUAAAGUCUAACCUGCCCCCUGAGUAAUUUAAAUGGCCGCAGUAUUUUAACUGUGCAAAGGUAGCAUAAUCAUUAGUCUUUUAAUUGAAGGCUGGUAUGAACGGUUGGACGAGGUAUAAACUGUUUCAUUUAAAUUUAUAUUAGAAUUUUAUUUUUUAGUUAAAAAGCUAAAAUUUUAUUAAAAGACGAGAAGACCCUAUAAAUCUUUAUAUUUUAUAUUAUUUAAGUUUUUUAGAUGUAUUUUAUUUUUAUAGUAGAAAAUAUUUUGUUGGGGUGAUAUUAAAAUUUAAUAAACUUUUAAUUUUAUUAAAUCAUUAAUUUAUGAUUAAUUGAUCCGUUAAUAACGAUUAUAAGAUUAAGUUACUUUAGGGAUAACAGCGUAAUUUUUUUGGAGAGUUCUUAUUGAUAAAAAAGUUUGCGACCUCGAUGUUGGAUUAAGAUAAAUUUUAGGUGUAGCUGCUUAAAUAUUAAGUCUGUUCGACUUUUAAAUUCUUACAUGAUC
rnacentral:rRNA from 1 species